UCUUUUCCUUUUUUUCCCUCCUCCUCUUUCCCCCUUCUUUUUCCCUCUUUUUCCUUCCUUCCUUUUUUUCCCUUUAUCUCAUGCGGACCGGCAAGUUGGAAGUGAAAACUAUGGGCUCAACCCAUAAAUUGCUUUCAAAACUGCUGGCCUUGAGUAGUGCAGAGGUAGGUGGAAUUCCCGGUGUAGCGGUGGAAUGCGUAGAUAUCGGGAGGAACACCAGUGGCGAAGGCGACCUACUGGGCACCAACUGACGCUGAGGCUCGAAAGCAUGGGUAGCAAACAGG
rnacentral:rRNA from 1 species